AUUGAACGCUGGCGGCAGGCCUAACACAUGCAAGUCGAACGAGUGGCGGACGGGUGAGUAAUGUCUGGGAAACUGCCCGAUGGAGGGGGAUAACUACUGGAAACGGUAGCUAAUACCGCAUACCAUCGGAUGUGCCCAGAUGGGAUUAGCUAGUAGGUGGGGUAACGGCUCACCUAGGCGACGAUCCCUAGCUGGUCUGAGAGGAUGACCAGCAACACUGGAACGGAGAGCCGGUCAAGACUCAUACGGGAGGCAGCAGUGGUGAAUAUUGCACAAUGGGCGCAAGCCGGAUGCAGCCAUGCCGGGUGUAGGAAGAGGGCCUUCGGGUUGUAAAGUACUUUCAGCGAGGAGGCGUUAAUCGCAGAAGAAGCACCGGCUAACUCCGGGCCAGCAGCCGCGGUAAUAC
rnacentral:rRNA from 1 species